rnacentral:rRNA from 1 species
ACGGGUGAGUAACACGUGAGUAACCUGCCCUUGACUCUGGGAUAAGCCUGGGAAACUGGGUCUAAUACCGGAUACGACCAUUCCACGCAUGUGGUGGUGGUGGAAAGCUUUUGUGGUUUUGGAUGGACUCGCGGCCUAUCAGCUUGUUGGUGGGGUAAUGGCCUACCAAGGCGACGACGGGUAGCCGGCCUGAGAGGGUGACCGGCCACACUGGGACUGAGACACGGCCCAGACUCCUACGGGAGGCAGCAGUGGGGAAUAUUGCACAAUGGGCGCAAGCCUGAUGCAGCGACGCCGCGUGAGGGAUGACGGCCUUCGGGUUGUAAACCUCUUUCAGUAGGGAAGAAGCGAAAGUGACGGUACCUGCAGAAGAAGCGCCGGCUAACUACGUGCCAGCAGCCGCGGUAAUACGUAGGGCGCAAGCGUUAUCCGGAAUUAUUGGGCGUAAAGGGCUCGUAGGCGGUUUGUCGCGUCUGCUGUGAAAGACCGGGGCUCAACUCCGGUUCUGCAGUGGGUACGGGCAGACUAGAGUGCAGUAGGGGAGACUGGAAUUCCUGGUGUAGCGGUGAAAUGCGCAGA